rnacentral:rRNA from 1 species
AGAGUGCUUUCAUUAGAGAGAACCUGGAGACAGGUGCUGCAUGGCUGUCGUCAGCUCGUGUCGUGAGAUGUUCGGUUAAGUCCGCUAACGAGCGCAACCCUCGCUGUGUGUUAUAUGUGUCACACGGGACUGCCGGUCUUAAGCCGGAGGAAGGUGGGGAUGAUGUCAAGUCAGCAUGGCCUUUAUAUCCUGGGCUACACACACGCUACAAUGGCCAACACAAUAGGUUGCUAAGCCGCGAGGUGGCGCCAAUCCAUAAAGUUGGUCUCAGUUCAGAUUGUAGGCUGCAACCCGCCUGCAUGAAGAUGGAGUUGCUAGUAACCGCAGGUCAGCUAUACUGCGGUGAAUACGUUCCCGGGGCUU